AGCCCAAAUUUGAUGUAGGGUAGAUCAGAGGGAUCAUCUAACCCUACUAAACUACUCUACUUCGAGUUUGUGCCC
rnacentral:pre_miRNA from 1 species